rnacentral:lncRNA from 1 species
UCUGAUUUGUUGGGUCAGCUGUUCUAGGUCUUCAAGAGGCAUGGAGGAAGAACUGCGGGAUGUUCGUGAAGCUGAUCCAAAGUAUUGCUUUAUGGUGACACCGGCUCCAACAGCACGAACACGGCCAGGGUGCUCUGGUCGCCCAAUGGCAGCAGUCAGGAUAUCCUGACGUCCAUGGGGGACAAACGAUCCCUGUGACGCCUGCUCGUCCAAAGAAUCCUGU